rnacentral:ncRNA from 1 species
AGUAAUAACGAACCGUGAGAAGUCAGCAGAGGUCAUAGUAACCGACAAGGUAAAAAAAUCGGCAGUCGGUGAAGGAC